rnacentral:lncRNA from 1 species
AAUCUAAUUCGAAUCAAGUUAACAAGAAGUUUCUUUAAACUUAUGUGGAAAUUUAAAUAUGCUCUCUGCUUUUUUAGCGCACACUUUCAGUCACUUUUGUGAAGGAUAUUCAAGAUCACUUUAACCUUAGCAAUUCUUAAAACUCAAGUCAGCUGAAGAGAACAACCUGUACAAAAUAGUGGAAAAAAUAAAUAAGAUAUUAACGGAGUAUUGACCUAUAAAAAUGUGCAUCAAAGACGAGAAAAUUUCCGACAACGCUACGUUACCUAAUUUUUAUCCAGUUAUUUGUCAAAGUUAUCCAGAUGAUGAAGAACCAACCGGUGACGAUGAAGAAAUCACAAUCUAAUCACUAAAAAUAUAUAAAUUAUUUAUACAAUUUAUAUUGUACAUAACUAAA